CCCUGUCUCUAAGUUUUUUGGAACAGCUCAGAUUGAACGCUGGCGGCAGGCCUAACACAUGCAAGUCGAGCGGAUGAAGGGAGCUUGCUCCUGGAUUCAGCGGCGGACGGGUGAGUAAUGCCUAGGAAUCUGCCUGGUAGUGGGGGAUAACGUCCGGAAACGGGCGCUAAUACCGCAUACGUCCUGAGGGAGAAAGUGGGGGAUCUUCGGACCUCACGCUAUCAGAUGAGCCUAGGUCGGAUUAGCUAGUUGGUGGGGUAAAGGCCUACCAAGGCGACGAUCCGUAACUGGUCUGAGAGGAUGAUCAGUCACACUGGAACUGAGACACGGUCCAGACUCCUACGGGAGGCAGCAGUGGGGAAUAUUGGACAAUGGGCGAAAGCCUGAUCCAGCCAUGCCGCGUGUGUGAAGAAGGUCUUCGGAUUGUAAAGCACUUUAAGUUGGGAGGAAGGGCAGUAAGUUAAUACCUUGCUGUUUUGACGUUACCAACAGAAUAAGCACCGGCUAACUUCGUGCCAGCAGCCGCGGUAAUACGAAGGGUGCAAGCGUUAAUCGGAAUUACUGGGCGUAAAGCGCGCGUAGGUGGUUCAGCAAGUUGGAUGUGAAAUCCCCGGGCUCAACCUGGGAACUGCAUCCAAAACUACUGAGCUAGAGUACGGUAGAGGGUGGUGGAAUUUCCUGUGUAGCGGUGAAAUGCGUAGAUAUAGGAAGGAACACCAGUGGCGAAGGCGACCACCUGGACUGAUACUGACACUGAGGUCGAAAGGACGG
rnacentral:rRNA from 1 species